UACGGAGGGUGCAAGCGUUAUCCGGAUUCACUGGGCUUAAAGGGUGCGUAGGUGGGCAGGUAAGUCAGUGGUGAAAUCUCUGGGCUUAACCCAGAAACUGCCGUUGAUACUAUCUGUCUUGAAUAUAGUGGAGGUGAGCGGAAUAUGUCAUGUAGCGGUGAAAUGCUUAGAUAUGACAUAGAACACCCAUUGCGAAGGCAGCUCGCUACACUAUCAUUGACACUGAGGCACGAAAGCGUGGGGAUCAAACAGG
rnacentral:rRNA from 1 species